UUUAAAGGUGGUUAUUGAAUAGUGAUUCAUUGUUGAGCAAUCUGUUAUCACUCGAUUGAUUAAUGCUUUUGCAUUUGCUGAUAUAACUGGAUCAUACAGGUGAAUUUUAUUGUUUUCAUACAUUUAGUCUACAUUUGAUCCAUGAAUCUUUCCUUAUUUUUAAGAAUGGUGUUUGUCAAGGAGUUGCUUUCAAGAAUCUUUUUGGUGGACGCUAUUAUCUUGCUGCAUCAAUGUAUACCAUUCCAAACGAGCCCAAUUGUCUGGUGAAGUUCAAUUUUGGUCCUGACUUUGAAAGCUUCCCCACAAAAUUUGAAGGUCGUCCAAUCCCAAAUCCCAUGAUUAAAGUUCCUGAUAUUAGAUUCGACAACUAAGUUGAAAACGGUGUAUUAGAUCAAAACGAACAAUAAUGCAAGUUUUAAUUAGUUAAUUGUUUCUUAUGAAUGAAAAAUUUGUAUUCGGGCUUCCUUAUUUCUUUACCUGUUGUGUCUCGAUAGGAAUAUAUUCCUUCUGGAUUUAUCCAGGGUACAGAGUAUGAGGCUGUAGUAUAAUGAAUUAUUAAUCUUAUAUGUUCUCUUAAUCAAUGGAAAUUGCUUAUCAUUUAUCUCAUAAUUUUAUGGUGUGAUUUCUUUGCCAUCAUGAUGUUACUUUAAGCAUAUAUUUGAUCUUGAUGUUAGGUUCUGGAUUUAUUCUAAUUGGUGUGCCAAUCUGCAACAUUAACUCGAUUAAUAAGUAUUCUAUGUUAUCUAAAUGUUUUGUUACAAUUUAGCACCAUCAAAGCAAGUAAAUGAUUUUCUAGGUAACCUUCUGUCCUUGGCUAUCUUUGCUUUUACUUAUACGACUUAUUUUUGUAAUUUAUAGUAUUUUGAGCAAAAAUUUGUUUCCUUUGUCUCAAGGUAUCAUGGUUGACUAUGUGUUGUAGCUUAUUAUAGUCACUUUCUGUUUCAAAUUGAUUUCUCUUUGAUCCGGAAAUCAUAUAUGCAUAUUUUUGAACCUCAUUAUCAAGCACAAUACAUUUUCUCACACAAAUAGUUGGGUCAUUCCUAUAGAUUCUUCAUCACUAAAUCAUAGUGAAGGGUAUAUGGUACAAUCAAGCACCAGCGCAGUGUUACUACCUUAGGAUACACAGCUAUGAUUUCUCGGUGAAAACAAUACAUUUUUAACUAUUAUUUGUGUCAUAUAUUCGUAGAGGAAUGAGUAUAUAAAAAUGUUUGUGUGUGUGUGCACGCGUGAGAAGGAAAUGAGGAGGAAGAGUUUGGAAACAUGUAUAUCACUUUGAAUUUUAUAGCAAUACUAGCAAUAUGACCUAUAAUUGUGAGUGAUACAAGAAUAAACAGUCAUUCUUAUGCAUUGUGUUGUGCCGUCUUGGUUUCAGCUUUUGUGUAUUGUAUAGAGCUGCAAUAGUAUUACAAGAAAAAAAAUUUUAAAUCAUUUUUUUUGCUAUUUAAGAUAAUUUUCCUUUUGAUAGUAUGGCAUGUUUCUUCAAUGGCUCUACCACCAUUUUUAUGCUGAAGCUAAUGAGAGACAUAAUCCAUAGGUGAAAUCCACAAUCUUAGAGCCUACCUCUUUUGUAAACAAGAAGCUUAUGAAGUUAAGGCCUUCUUGAUUGGGCAAUGGGUAUUGAGGUUGAUAUCUCCUGGAAGAAAAGGAAAAUUUACUGAGUUGUAUUGGGAUUUGACUCUAUUGAUCCUUACCUGGUAAUCACUCUCUUAAUUCCCUUGAGUCUAAAUUCAAUUGACUGAUUGCAUUUGAUUUCUUUUUAGGGUUUUGUUUUCAAUACAGUUUAAUUUUGUGUUUGUUUUUUAGAACAGUUUAACUAUAUGUGAAUUAUGUCUACAUUUUGCAAAUUAGCCAUUGAUUUAUUGAAUUUUGAUGCUAAUGAUUUCAAUUGUUGUUAAUUUGUGUUGGGCGAUUACUAGAAGAUUGGAAGAAUUUGUAAACAGAACUUUUAAAUUUUUAUAUUUUACCAGUAAUUUUGUUGCCCUAGAUAUGCUAUACUAUAUCAGUAGCAGUAAAAAGUUUUUUUUUUUUUAAGUGAGAAAGCUGAAGAUUUUCACUUUCACUUUUGUGAUAUGAGUUUGAUCCUAAUGGAUUGUGAUAUGAGUUUAAUUAUAUGUGCAUUCUUCCUCUUUUUCCACUAUUGUUGCUCUUUGAUGUUUUUAUGCAUUUGAAAGUCUUAUACUAAUAAUUGUACAUCAGCAAGGAGCUGGAUCAUAUUAUGGUUGCGUUGUUGGUCGUGUUGCAAAUCGAAUCAAUUGAGAAAAUUGCUAAUAUUUCUACACUAAUGAAAUCACUGAAAAAAUUGAUAAGAAUUCAACACUAAUGUAGUUUUUUUGGCUUUACUAAAAGCAGAUUAUGAAGCAGCUCCUGCCAUCAUUAGUCCAUUUCCAAAAUCGGUUCCUGGCUGCCGUAGAUCAUUGGCUGAAUGAUAUGCAAAAACGGCAUAGUUUACUUAAUGUUAAUAGCCUGCAUAAAUCAGUAGUAAUUAUAAUAAAAACAUAAUGCUUUAGCCAGUUAGCUUUUUUUUUUUUUUUUUUUUCCAUUGUGUUCAUUAAUGUUAGUCAUUGCAAAUUGGUUUAGUAUCUAAUUUCUUGUUUGUGUAAGAUGCUUUACUCUUUAGAUUUUAUUAGCAUGUUAAGAUUCUAUAAAAUCUACAUAUAGAUGAUCCUUUAUAGGUGUCCAUGGACCAUGGAGCCCGUGCUUUCUAUUUCUGGAUCCAUUGAAUCUCAACAUGUAUCAACUAUACUUCUCGGCUCCUAGAUGUUUGCUAACCCAUCUCGAAAACCCAUUGGAGUUUUCCUUCUUUUGGAAGUUGGUACUUGGCAUGCAUGAUGAUAUCGACAAGAGUGCCUUUGUGCUCCUACCUUGUGGCCCAUACACUCAGUUGGCCAAUUAUAGGUCUAUCCAACAAAUUGUAGGAUGUAUCAUUGAUGCUUGGGUGACAUGGGGCGCAUAGAACAACAAUGACGUAGCCUUAAUCCCAAUAUAUAUGUUCCAGUGCUCAUCUACAAAGAUUAGAGCACUUGCUGUUUGGAACUGUCAUGUAUUGUAACUUAUUACGUUGCUUUUCAAUGAAAAAUUAUGUCUAACAAGAGUCUAAACUAAUAUUUUUGAAGAUUAUUUUUUGCGGUCGUUUAAUUCAUUAAUUUUUUUCAUAAAACUCGAAUCACUCAAACUAAUAUCAUCAAACUUAAAAGUGUAACUUAGGGGACGCACGCGGCCCACAACUAGUAUGAUAAAAUAUUUCCCUUUUUCCACAUAACUAAUGAGCAAAUAAGGUUAUACAAGUACUUUUGAUAAGUUGUUUGUUAGAAAAUAUUUUCGUACAAUAUUAUUAUUCGUUAU